rnacentral:rRNA from 1 species
UACAGAGGUCUCAAGCGUUGUUCGGAUUCAUUGGGCGUAAAGGGUGCGUAGGUGGCGCCGUAAGUCAGGUGUGAAAUCUCGGGGCUCAACCCCGAAACUGCACUUGAUACUGCGGUGCUCGAGUACUGGAGAGGAGAUUGGAAUUUACGGUGUAGCAGUGAAAUGCGUAGAUAUCUGGAGGAACACCGGUGGCGAAGGCGGCAUCCUGGACCGGUAUUGACGCUGAGGCGCGAAAGCCAGGGGAGCAAACGGG